rnacentral:rRNA from 1 species
AUUGAACGCUGGCGGCAGGCCUAACACAUGCAAGUCGAGCGGUAGAGAGAAGCUUGCUUCUCUUGAGAGCGGCGGACGGGUGAGUAAGGCCUAGGAAUCUGCCUGGUAGUGGGGGAUAACGUUCGGAAACGGACGCUAAUACCGCAUACGUCCUACGGGAGAAAUCAGGGGACCUUCGGGCCUUGCGCUAUCAGAUGAGCCUAGGUCGGAUUUGCUAGUUGGUGGGGUUAUGGCUCACCAAGGCGACGAUACGUAACUGGUCUGAGAGGAUGAUCAGUCACACUGGAACUGAGACACGGUCCAGACGCCUACGAGAGGCAGCAGUGGGGAAUAUUGGACGAAGGGCGAAAGACUGAUGCAGCAAUGCCGCGUGUGUGAAGAAGGUCUUCGGAUUGUAAAACACUUUAAGUUGGGAGGAAGGGCAGUAAAUUAAUACUUUGCUGUAUUGACGUUACCGACAGAAUAAGCACCGGCUAACUCUGUG